UUAUCGUCGAUGGAAAAAAGAAAGAUAAUCAAUUAUGAUGAUACGAAGAUCGAAGAAGAAAAGAUGAAAAAUAAUUUUUAAUAUUUAUUAAAUUAAUUUAAUAUUUUUAGAAUUUAAAACAUUAAGUUAUGACCCAACGACCCGAAGAUCCAGAAGAUCAUAUCCCGAAUCAAUUAAAUGAUUAUGAGAAAUAGAUAGGUCUUAUUAAAAAAAUAUUAAAGGCGAUUGUUGGGCGGUGGGGGAUUGCCAAAAGUAAUGCACGUAAACAAGUCACAAAAAGACUCACAAUGGAGAACACUACAACGGCACUCCAGGGUUUAGAGGUCGGAGAUACCGUCGCCUUGUACGUCUGCGGUGAUGCCGCCUGGGAGAUCCGCUGCGGUCCGCUCCAAAACCCUCUUGCCGCAGUCCUCGCUGCCGCACAGAACGUCCCCUCUCGCCUGGAGGUCGGUCUCAUCGGCAUCCGCAACUGUUGAGUCGCUGAUGCAACUUCACAGCGCCAUCGCCUCUGUUCGUUUCAGAUCAUUUAUAGCUGUUGAUUCCUCUUCUUGGAGCUGGCUGUCUCAAGAUAAUGAUUUCAUCUCGAAGCUUCAAAACCUGAUCUUGUUGGACAAGGGCCAUGGUUUCACCUCUAAUGCUUGCAUUUGAAGCUGAAGAAACUCGAAACUCUGUUAAUGAAAUUAUUUGGGGAGGCAUUUGGAUUGGAUCAAAAGAAGAUAAAAAGUUGAACAUGGCCUUCCAAAAGUUCAAAAGAGAAAAAAAAUCAAGGACAAAUGGUAUGCAAACAUGGAUAAAUGAUCUAGAAUGGACCUCCACCACUCAAGUGUGUGAGAUAUGAAUUGAUUAGACUGAGCACUCAUGCAUCAUGGCAGGAUAAAGAAAAAGGCAUGUCUGAGGCCAUCAUUAGCAGCAAAAACGGCAGACAAGGUCAUUGAUUCCAGAUAACUUAUUUUAGCUGGGAAUAUUAUAUGAGAGAUACAAAAAUAUAUUACUUACCCCUUUCACUGUGCUUCAUUCUCUAAGUUAACUACUUGCAUUAGACUCCAAGCUAGUUUAGUUUUCUUAGAUAACCUUAAAUGAUGUUUUAUUCAAGUAGGAAUGAUAUGAUCAGUUGACGGAUUCAUGAAGAAGGCAGGUAAGUUCGUUAUAUGUUGGCUUCUUGGUUUAUAAAUUUAUAAUAUGGUAUGCAUGUGUAUAUAUAUAAGGUCGAUAGUCUUUUAAUCUAAGAACAAAGAAAUUAAGUUCAUAACAGGUUUGUUUUUUUUUCAUCUGUAUUCACAACUGAGAUAAAAACACAUUGUUUUUGUUGAAUGAUUUCCUCAAAUUUGGAAAAAGAAAAUAUAACUUUUGAACCUUUGUGCUUACUUUUUCUUUAGAUUUCCCUAGUGGAGCUUUAGGUUGGAAGUGCCAUUCAUGGCUGCAGUAGUUUGUACAGUGGUACCACUUAUUUGGUGCUAUUAGAGAAGAUAUAUAUGUGGGGGAAAACAAAUAGGGAAAGAGAGCAAGUAAUAUAUUCCUUAAAGAUGAGUGGGAACGUGAUGGGGUGUGAAAGCCUUGCCAGCCAUUCUUUGUUUCAGUAGGAAAAACGCUUGAAGCUCUUCCUUUUUAAUCACAUAUUUGGAUUUUUCCUAUGCAAGAAGUUUUUGUUAAAUAGACUCUUCUUAUCAGAUCUCCUUACUGUUUCAGGCCAAGAUUUAUAUCUUCUCCAAUGUUUUCUCCUGUUCUUAGUAGCUUGCUUUUCCUCAAUGGUUCCGAAGAUUAGGUGCAUGAACUUCUUCCUUCUUUGCACGUAUCUGAGUUAUUCUCAUACUCCAAGCUUCCGGAGUAGCUAAAGAAAAGAAGAGUCAAUUGCUGCCCCAUUAACCUUCACUUUUUCUAGUUGUUUAUUCAAGUUGCUCACUAUUUUCUUUAAGAUGUUCCUCGUCAUGAUCCAACUAAAUUGAGUGCCUAGUUAGUGUACUACUCAUCAUGCUGGAACCAUCUGUUCUUCAAAUGGCAUCUCCUUGUUCCCCCAAACAUAGUGGAUUAGCCAUUGCACUCUGUCUCCUCCUACUGAUCUAUUGGAGUUAUUGCAGUAAUCAUUUGACUUCAACGUUGCUUACCUUGUUACUGCUGGUACUAUCCACCUUUUUUCCACUUCUCGGCCAAAUUGGCAAGGCUUGCUUCAAGGAGAAGCCAUCAGAAGCUGCUGCUGCUCUGCCACCAGAUGUAGUUUUUGCGGAUCAGAAGGCAUCCAUGGAAGAAUUUGUCGCAUAUCACAAUGAUGAAGCAGUCAGUGGGUCAGAAAAUCCAUCACUGAAGUAUGAAGGUCUGGAGGGGGAGUUAACAAGUGGGCUUCUAUCGGUAGAUGCUUUGAGUUCCAGUGGCAAAAAUGCACAAGAGAAUUUAAGUCAAACCACAUUGCGAUGCUCGAAAUCUUCUGAUGAGUCUUUGCUUGAGGAUGCUUGCUGCUUGAAGGAAAGCUUUGAAGGUUCAAUAUCAGAUGAUGAAAACCUCAUUGAGAUUAUACUCCCAGAUGAUCAUUUUGUUGUGCCUGAGGUGUCAAAAGCAUGGUUGAAGCCACUGCCAGAUAUAAUUAGAGGGUUACUGACAAAUCUUUUGCUUGAGCCAGUACUGAGGCAACAUGGACUGAUGGAGAUCGUAUCAGAAAUCGGUGACAACUUAAUCGAGAUUGAUAUCACCAGGGGCUGCAUCAAAUGCUCAAGAAUGGGAAUCAUGGCGUGCAUAGUUUAGAUGUUGAAGCAGUAAAGAGAUCAUCUGCCAAUAAUACUUGGCACCUGAUGGUGCUCCAGUUGGUGAGACAUGUUUCAUCAUUUUGUUGGAGAUUUUUUUUUUUUCGAGGGCUAGAGAUCCAACCUAGUUUGCAGCAUCCAACAGGUAGCCAAGUAGGUUAUAGAAAAUGAACGGCCACUUUUGAAGUGGUGUUGUACAGUAUCAAGGUAGCAUUCCAAGUUCAAAACUGAUGCAUGCUAUUUUGGUACUUAGUAUGGAAUGUACUGUAAAGAGUUGAUAUCACAUCCAGAAAUAAGAUGGCAAUUAUCACACUGCAUCACUUGGUCGGCCUGAUACACCUAACUCUUUAUAGCACCAUGGAGAACUAUAUUGAGAACUGAUGAUGUGUUCAUGCAGUCUUAAGUCAUAUCAGAGGUUCCGAUCCUUAUCUUCUGAUUUAGAACCUUGUGGAUGUGGCAUGCAAGUAUUUCACCUGGAUUCUCCUUCCAGUUAUUGUAAAGAAUAGAACCAUUAAAGUUAGCUUCUAGCUCUAGUGAUCUUGUUGAACCAGUGAUGACACAAAAAAGUGGUCAAACUGAAUACAUCUUCAAUGUAAACUCCAGCAGCUUUCUUUUUGCUAAAUUGUACUGUUGCCUUGAGAUCUCUAGAGUUCCUCAGCACUAAAGAUCUUCUGCAAUUUGUUUUUGUAGCUAUCUUUUUUAUUUUGUGUGAUAUGGAGGUGCGCAUGUGCUGCUCAGUGAAUGGAUGAAUGGACACCAUGUUGAAAUCAAUCUGACUCUAUAGCAGGUUUAGUUUUUUGUUGUAAUAAUUGCUUAGAUUCAAUGGACUUCUCCAAAUCCACUUGUCUUUGAAGGCAAAACACUGAUACAAGGGUUAGGAUUUACAGAGGAAUAUGUUCUCUUACCAGCUCCAAUCACAAGAUACAUCACCUAACAGAUGACAGCAGCUGCAGGGACUGACCAAACCAGAUUGAGCCUGUGCUCCAUGGUUCUGGAUUGAGAUUGUCAUCGAUCUUAAUAGUGGAUUAGGAAUCAUGAAAUGGAGUUGUAAAGUAGCAUGUCUUUCUUAAUGCACCUUCCAUGUUUACUCCUGCCCAAAUUUAGUCUUUUUCUUUUCAAUAA